UACGAAGGGGGCGAGCGUUGUUCGGAAUUACUGGGCGUAAAAGGGCGCGCAGGCGGUCCUUCAAGUCAGAUGUGAAAGCCCCGGGCUCAACCUGGGGGCGGCACUUGAGACGUAGGAACUGGAGUGAGGAAGAGGGUCGUGGAAUUCCGAGUGUAGAGGUGAAAUUCGUAGAUAUUCGGAAGAACACCAGUGGCGAAGGCGGCUCACUGGACCGGUAUUGACGCUGAUGUGCGAAAGCGUGGGGAGCAAACAGG
rnacentral:rRNA from 1 species